rnacentral:lncRNA from 1 species
UUGGUGCCGUAUAUGGAGGUGGGGGAGGCAUUUCUGCAUGAUCCCUUGAAGAUGGAAUAUAAAGUUCUGGCUUAUAGGUUGGAGAAACAAAAGUUUCUGGAUUAAAGGGAGUACAUAUAUAAAGAAAUAAAUAAAUUAAAGAGUUUAUUGGAUUGCGACCAAAAAUGUACAGUUUAUUAUAUAUGAUGACAACACAGAACAGGAAAAGAAAACUGCCAAAGGAAUAAAAAAAUGUGCCGUCAAAAAAAUGUUAAAACAUGCCAAUUAUAAAGAAUGCUUAUUUCAAAAAGCAUCAACAAUGAAUUCAAUGAAAUUGAUAAAAAGUCAAAAUCAUGAACUCUUUGUCAACCAUAUUGUUAAAAAAGGAUUAUCGAAUUUUGAUGAGAAGAGAUUUUGGACUAAUCAUAUUAAGAGUUAUGCUUAUGGACAUUUCAAAAUACGAUUAAACUUUGUAUGUUUUAUUUUAUAAUUUAGUAUGUUAUUUUAUUGUAAAUACAAUUUUAUGAAGUUUUCUUAAAAUUUUUAAUGGAACGCCUGAAACAAACUCCUCAUACAAAGAGUACAAUCAUUUGCUUAUAUCAUUCAAUAGGCUAAUAAGAUCACCAGGAUAAGAAUCUUCUGCUUUUCUUUAUUUUUGUGCCGUAUAUGAAGGUGGGGGAGGCAUUUCUGCUGAUCCCCUUGAAGAUGGAAUAUAACGUUCUGGCUUAUAGGUUGGAGAAACAAAAGGUUCUGGAUUAAAGGUUGUAGAUCCAUUAGCUUCAGUUGGGUUACUGGUUGUUUUAUUCUCCUCCUAAAAUAUUUGUUUUAUUUUUUUUUUCAUUUUUUUUAUAUUCUUUAAGUGAAAGUUAGUUCUUCGAAAAUAAAUGUGCUUGGUAGAACAACUUUCAAGUCUGCUAAGUUAUAUAAUAAGAUCAACAUUUAAAAAAUACCCACCCCUCCCCUCUUAGCUGUAAGACAGCAUUUACAUAUUAUAAAAAAUAUUUUUUAUUAAUUAUUAAAUAAAAAUCCAAAAUUUCUUAACUUUAUUUUAAAAAAAAAUCAUUUUCUCACUAGUCAAUCACACCACAUAUUUUUUUUUAUAAGUUUUAUAUAUUAAAAUAUUUUCUCACUGGACAAUCAUACCACAUAUUUAAUAAUGUAAAUAGACUUACUUUAAAAAAAUUCCUCAGCAUUUCCAGCUGACUAACCAGUUCGCUAAAUUGGACUGCUUCCUCGAAUGCGAGGGACAAUCUACCAUAGAAAUUUGGUCGAUUGUCGUAUAUGUUAACAAAGAAAUUCCCCAUAGCGGAUUGUUGCAAAACAACAUUUUUUGGUUUCCAAAUCGGUGAGAAAACUCUUUUUUUCCAUUUCUGGACUUCUCCAAAAAGACAAAUCUGGAUCCAUUUUGUGAAGACAUGAUGAGUGUAAAUGUAGAAAUUAAAAAAAAAAUUGAGAAAAUCUUUAUAUAUGUACUCUCUGUAAGAUGCAAUGAAACCAACCCCUUGUCCAAAAAAA